AGCGGGAAGUAGUUUACUACUUUGCCGGCGAGCGGCGGACGGGUGAGUAAUGUCUGGGAAACUGCCUGAUGGAGGGGGAUAACUACUGGAAACGGUAGCUAAUACCGCAUAACGUCUUCGGACCAAAGUGGGGGACCUUCGGGCCUCACGCCAUCGGAUGUGCCCAGAUGGGAUUAGCUAGUAGGUGGGGUAAUGGCUCACCUAGGCGACGAUCCCUAGCUGGUCUGAGAGGAUGACCAGCCACACUGGAACUGAGACACGGUCCAGACUCCUACGGGAGGCAGCAGUGGGGAAUAUUGCACAAUGGGCGCAAGCCUGAUGCAGCCAUGCCGCGUGUGUGAAGAAGGCCUUCGGGUUGUAAAGCACUUUCAGCGAGGAGGAAGGCCAAUAACCUAAUACGUUGUUGGAUUGACGUUACUCGCAGAAGAAGCACCGGCUAACUCCGUGCCAGCAGCCGCGGUAAUACGGAGGGUGCAAGCGUUAAUCGGAAUUACUGGGCGUAAAGCGCACGCAGGCGGUUUGUUAAGUCAGAUGUGAAAUCCCCGCGCUUAACGUGGGAACUGCAUUUGAAACUGGCAAGCUAGAGUCUUGUAGAGGGGGGUAGAAUUCCAGGUGUAGCGGUGAAAUGCGUAGAGAUCUGGAGGAAUACCGGUGGCGAAGGCGGCCCCCUGGACAAAGACUGACGCUCAGGUGCGAAAGCGUGGGGAGCAAACA
rnacentral:rRNA from 1 species